rnacentral:rRNA from 1 species
GGUGAAUUUUCCGCAAUGGGCGAAAGCCUGACGGAGCAAUACUGCGUGAGGGAGGAAGGCUCUUGGGUCGUAAACCUCUUUUCUCAGGGAAGAACACAAUGACGGUACCUGAGGAAUAAGCAUCGGCUAACUCCGUGCCAGCAGCCGCGGUAAUACGGAGGAUGCAAGCGUUAUCCGGAAUGAUUGGGCGUAAAGCGUCCGCAGGUGGCUGUGUAAGUCUGCUGUUAAAGAGUCUAGCUCAACUAGAUAAGAGCAGUGGAAACUACACGGCUAGAGUACGUUCGGGGCAGAGGGAAUUCCUGGUGUAGCGGUGAAAUGCGUAGAGAUCAGGAAGAACACCGGUGGCGAAGGCGCUCUGCUAGGCCGUAACUGACACUGAGGGACGAAAGCUAGGGGAGCGAAUGGGAUUAGAUACCCCAGUAGUCCUAGCCGUAAACGAUGGAUACUAGGCGUGGCUUGUAUCGACCCGAGCCGUGCCGUAGCUAACGCGUUAAGUAUCC